ensembl:lncRNA
CUGUGGGUAGAGUUCAGCUAGAGGCACAAAACUACAUUUUUUUGAUAUGGGAAUCAGGAUUUCUUAAUUUCUUUGUCAUCACGCAACACAGCACGACACUUCUGAUUUGUGAGAGAUUUAAAUGAGCCAUAUCGUCAGCAGCUAGCAGAUGCCCCCCGCGCCCCACUGAAAGGCACAACAGGACACUGGCUUCCAUCAGUUUUCUGCUAAAUACCAAUUUUUCCUAAUCAACAUUGCUGGUGGUGCUUGAGUCUCUCAUAAUACACCCUGGACAGGUGACCAGACAGGACACACAGCCCGCUCACGCCUGUUAGAGUCACCACAAACCUCAUUUGCAUGUAUGGACUGUGGGAGAGAACACACACGGGCACAAGCUGAACAUUCACGCCAGAAACAUCCGAGCACCAACUGCAGCCAGUACCGGCACCACAGGUGACUGUCCAUGAAACAAACAGAAGAAAGACUCGUCCAUAUGUGGAACAUGGUUGGCUCAUUGUCUCCUUGCUCUCUUGUUAUCUGCUGCAGUUCUGUCACAUAUCGGGCAACAGACGCUUAGAAAGCGGUCACAGAUGCCCAACACUCGAUUAAGCCCGCAUGGACGCGCAUCAUGGUGGGAUUGGUCUGUGACAAGCUCUGAUGAAUCAAAAGAUGCGGCCAGGGAUCCGCUUGAUGGCUGUUGACAGUAAACAGCCAUGGAAGACUCCACCACUGACAGUCUCUGAUAAUUCCCACCAGUUGGUGGUGUCGUGGCAGCGCGCUAGCUGACCUGUUCACAUCUUGCUCUGGGGUCGUUCAGGCUGGAUGGACGUGAGCCUCACCUGAGAAGCUGACCCCAGAACUGCAACACCAACAUCUGGAUGGCACAGAGCUGUUGCAGAAUCAAUAAUAAUAAUAAGUCUUUUUCAAUGGAAUUUCUUGGAUCGCUCUUCUUGGGGAGUUACAAUUAGCAUGAUGUAUGAUAAAACAUUUAGGCUGCACUAUUGAAACACUAGCAACAUUUUAAAAGAAGAGUUUGAAAAGUAAAUUAAAACAAUGACAGAGACAAAUUAUUUCUCACUGUCUUAUUUUGUGGGGCCAAAUUGAAAUAAACAGUAUCUGGCAUGUAUAGAGCUCCUUCUGUGACCCAAGAUGACCUUUCACACAGAAAAAGUAGCAAAAUGUUAUUUGGAGGAAAAUAAUGUUUUGUGAAUAAUGUUUUUUGCAUAAUCAGGCCGUCUGGAUUUUUUUUUUUAAAUCAACAUUUCUCAGAUUAUGAAAAUAAUUUAGCUAUAUUAUAAAGUAGCUAAGGCAACACUGUCAAAAGUUUCUUUGUUGUCUGAAUACAUUCUGUAAUUUAGCUGGAGUUUAAAUGUCCCACACUUGCACACUUGUGGUUAUGCUUAUAAUGAAGGUAAUCACAGGAAUGCUCAGUCAUGCUGCUACUAUAACACACCUGCACCUCUCACCACCUGCCGCUCACUUUUAAGUUUCUUCUUUUACCCUAAAAUGUUUUUGUUUUUUUUAAGUUUAUUCCGACACAGAAAGUGUUGCCCUCUGAGGCAAACAAUAUUUAGGAUUGUCUCCAACCAAAUCUGAUUUGAUAAUGAACCAAUUGAAUAUAUAUGUUCUACAUAUAUCAAGAUUAAAAGGAAUAUAGAGACAAUCCCUCUUUCACUGAUAAUGGGAACUGCAGUCUUCCUGAAUAGGGAAAAUUAAAUUAUUCACUAAAAUGUGUAUAAUUC